rnacentral:rRNA from 1 species
UAGGGAAUCUUCGGCAAUGGGGGCAACCCUGACCGAGCAACGCCGCGUGAGUGAAGAAGGUUUUCGGAUCGUAAAGCUCUGUUGUAAGUCAAGAACGAGUGUGAGAGUGGAAAGUUCACACUGUGACGGUAGCUUACCAGAAAGGGACGGUUAACUACGUGCCAGCAGCCGCGGUAAUACGUAGGUCCCGAGCGUUGUCCGGAUUUAUUGGGCGUAAAACGAGCGCAGGCGGUUUGAUAAGUCUGAAGUUAAAGGCUGUGGCUCAACCAUAGUUCGCUUUGGAAACUGUCAAACUUGAGUGCAGAAGGGGAGAGUGGAAUUCCAUGUGUAGCGGUGAAAUGCGUAGAUAUAUGGAGGAACACCGGUGGCGAAAGCGGCUCUCUGGUCUGUAACUGACGCUGAGGCUCGAAAGCGUGGGGAGCGAACAGGAUUAGAUACCCUGGUAGUCCACGCCGUAAACGAUGAGUGCUAGGUGUUGGAUCCUUUCCGGGAUUCAGUGCCGUAGCUAACGCAUUAAGCACUCCGCCUGGGGAGUACGACCGCAAGGUUG